AAAAAUAUAAACAUAUCAAAUAUGUUGUGUUAUUCAUAGGCUACCUAUGAAGCAUAUCUGUCAGCAUAUAUAGGAAUCUCGGUAGGGCAUAGCUAAUUUACUGCUUGUUACUAUAAUGAGGCAACCUAUUGAUCAGCCUGCAAGUAAUUACAUGAUAUGUGUAAGAGAGAAAUGCAAUAUACUAAAGGGAAUUAGAACACAGAAGUAGAAAAUAAACUGAUAACGACAUAGCAAAAUACGAAAAAAAAACCAAAUGACAAAUAAUUGUAUACAGAACAUAAAACAUAAAAAAAAUGACAGACCAACACGAGCCUCACCAAAAGCACUCGUCGUGUGUCGAUCAUGUAAGUACAAACCCG
rnacentral:lncRNA from 1 species